GGGGAAUCUUCCGCAAUGGAUGAAAGUCUGACGGAGCAACGCCGCGUGAGUGAAGAAGGUUUUCGGAUCGUAAAGCUCUGUCUUUUGGGACGAAUGUGCUGUCGGUGAAUAAUCUGUAGCAAUGACGGUACUAAAGGAGGCAGCCACGGCUAACUACGUGCCAGCAGCCGCGGUAAUACGUAGGUGGCGAGCGUUGUCCGGAAUUAUUGGGCGUAAAGGGCGCGUAGGCGGAUCUGUAAGUCAGAUGUGAAAGGCUACGGCUCAACCGUAGUAAGCAUUUGAAACUGCAGGGCUUGAGUGCAGGAGAGGAGAGUGGAAUUCCUAGUGUAGCGGUGAAAUGCGUAGAUAUUAGGAGGAACACCAGUGGCGAAGGCGACUCUCUGGACUGUAACUGAAGCUGAGGCACGAAAGCGUGGGGAGCAAACA
rnacentral:rRNA from 1 species